AUUGUGACUGAAUAUUCCGUGUGAUCUGGGGGGAUUCAGCGGGUUUUGGACAGACAUUUCCGGGAAUUAUCUUCGAGGCUUGUUGGCAACACUGAUCUUCAAAGCCAAAGGCUUUAUUUCACAGGAUCAGACCAAACAUUCCCGCAGGGGGAGCAACUUGGACAAUUAUUCCAGCCCACUCCUGGUAACAACAGACAAGAGGUCACAGUGUAAUUGUGACGGAAGGAUGACAUUCAAACAUCACCAUAUAAAAGGCAGACUCUGGGCCUUUUGAAAGCCUGGGAAAGCCGGACAAAGCUUGCCCACAGACCGUAGCUACUGUUUUUGCCCCUGCACACUUGUGAAGUGGGACUUGUGGCGAUGGAUACGGUCGAUCUGAUUGCGUGCUUUGGUGUCCUGUGUUUAGCCGUGUUCUGCUACCGCCUCUUAUCUUUUGUGACUGCUGAGUGUCAGGUACAGUAAUUUGUCCAGGGUGGGUGGUCCUGCCUACCCUAAUGGGACGACAUGGCCAUUUCAAAACUCGAAACUACAGCUCCCGGCCUGCCUUGCGGGGCGGAAGUGGUCCUGAUUGGCUGCCACUCUGGGAUGGAUUUUAAAAACACAAAACCGCUUCCCACAUAUAUCCGCCUUUUCCCCAUCCCGACAGGAAGAACCUGUGGACAAUGAGUCGAAGAAGACCAAAGCCACAAAGAAGCGUUGAGCAGCUCCGUGUGGAACCCCCAAGAGCCUGUCAGUUGAAGGGGAUGGUGAAGGUUCUAUGUUAAGAAGACGUCAGCGAUGAUGGAACCUCACAUUUUCCGAAUGUACUAGGGCUGGGGCUUGCUAUCCCGCGUCGCAAGGGUACCCAGAUGAAGAAAUUAUUUUCACCAUUCCUGAAGGUCCUCAGUGCGCGAGCCAGAACAUGCCAACGUUGCCAGCAUGAUGCCUUGCCUUAAAUCAGGAUUCCAAGUGGAAUCUUGCUGAGCAUGUUAAGACGUGUUCAUUUCAUAAUCUGGGUCCACUUGCCAAGGAGGUCAACGAACAGGGAAAUCCUCUCACAGGAGUGUGGGAAUGAGGAGGAGUGUCAGGCAAGAGUCUCAGUCCACUUCCUGGCUGAAUCAUCCGAGGGAGUCAUGAUUUAACAGGAGAUAAGAAGGCAGUGCUAAGACAUUUGCAUGCUUGGAAAAGCAAUAUCUGAAGACAAAGCAACAGAUAUUUAUUUCCACAGGCCGCACCUUCUGUUUGACCUGACAGCUUGGGAGUGUGGACGUUGCUGACAUGACGACUGUGGACAUCAUAGCUCUGAUUGGAGUUGCGUCUCUGAUACCCGCGACGAGUAAAGAGACCUAUACGUCCGGUAAAAAUGGUCAUCAUGAGAAACAGACAAGACAUCUGAAAAACCAUCACCAAUGAGGGCAAGCCGACAGAUCUGAGAGGCUUUAAAUAAAUCCAAUUGUAUGAUA